rnacentral:rRNA from 1 species
ACUCAAAUGAAUAGACGGGGGCCCGCACAAGCGGUGGAGCAUGUGGUUCAAUUCGAAGCAACGCGAAGAACCUUACCAGCUCUUGACAUGCCUCGUAUGGUCGCUGGAGACAGCUUCCUUCCCGCAAGGGGCGAGAGCACAGGUGCUGCAUGGCUGUCGUCAGCUCGUGUCGUGAGAUGUUGGGUUAAGUCCCGCAACGAGCGCAACCCUCGCCCUUAGUUGCCAUCAUUUAGUUGGGCACUCUAAGGGGACUGCCGGUGAUAAGCCGGAGGAAGGUGGGGAUGACGUCAAGUCCUCAUGGCCCUUACGGGCUGGGCUACACACGUGCUACAAUGGCGGUGACAGAGGGACGCAAAGGGGCAACCCUUCGCAAAUCUCAAAAAGCCGUCUCAGUUCGGAUUGGGGUCUGCAACUCGACCCCAUGAAGUUGGAAUCGCUAGUAAUCGUGGAUCAGCACGCCACGGUGAAUACGUUCCCGGGCCUUGUACACACCGCCCGU